rnacentral:rRNA from 1 species
GACGAACGCUGGCGGCGUGCCUAAUACAUGCAAGUCGAGCGAAUGACGAGAAGCUUGCUUCUCUGAUUUAGCGGCGGACGGGUGAGUAACACGUGGGCAACCUGCCCUGUAGACUGGGAUAACUUCGGGAAACCGGAGCUAAUACCGGAUAAUUCUUUUAGCCUCAUGGCUUUAAGCUAAAAGGCGCUUCGGCGUCACUACAGGAUGGGCCCGCGGUGCAUUAGCUAGUUGGUGGGGUAACGGCCUACCAAGGCAACGAUGCAUAGCCGACCUGAGAGGGUGAUCGGCCACAUUGGGACUGAGACACGGCCCAAACUCCUACGGGAGGCAGCAGUAGGGGAUCUCCCACAAUGGACGAAAGUCUGAUGGAGCAACGCCGCGUGAGUGAUGAAGGUUUUCGGAUCGUAAAACUCUGUUGUAAGGGAAGAACAAGUGCGUUAGGUAAUGAACGCACCUUGACGGUACCUUAUUAGAAAGCCACGGCUAACUACGUGCCAGCCGCCGCGGUAA